rnacentral:lncRNA from 1 species
UUUUGCUGUGAAAAUCAAUGUUUGCGAUUUUAUUGCAUCACUGGCCAUUCUCUUUUCUUCUGCUUACCACAAAAAAAAACUGCCAUCAAUUUGAUCGUUUUUCUUUAUUUCUUUCUCAAGCAUUUUUAUUAUUCGUAAGUGCUAAUCAAAACAUUCUCGGCACAUAUCAAUGUAUCUUCUCUCUCUAUCUGCACAAAUUUGGAGGGGUUCUCUGUUUCUAACAGGAUAAUUAUCUUUGGUCUUCUACAUGUUUAUUAAUUUGGUUCUUUUUACCAUUGUUUCACUUUGAAUAUUUGUUGUCACCAUAUUUUGUCUCUCUUACCAAUCAUUGUAUUGUCCAGAGGUCGAUCUCUUCCUUCUCCAUCCUAAAUCUCUUCUACAUACCCAGAUUAUAAAUGUUUGUUAUUUAUUAGCUCUCUCUAGUGUUUUUAUAACAUACUGUUUUUGUUCGUCUAGGUUCCAGUAAAUAAUCGUAACAUAAAUGGGCAGGGCCGUGCCUGACAUUUGGCAAACUAGAAGCAAAAAAAAAAAUUGGCCCAGAACUGCACUACUCGGCA